rnacentral:rRNA from 1 species
CACGUAGGGGACGAGCGUUGUCCGGAUUCAUUGGGCGUAAAGCGCGUGUAGGCGGUCCGGUAAGUCCGCUGUGAAAGUCGGGGGCUCAACCCUCGAAUGCCGGUGGAUACUGUCGGGCUAGAGUGGCGGAAGAGGCGAGUGGAAUUCCUGGUGAUAGCGGUGAAAUGCGCAGAUAUCAGGAGGAACACCAAUUGGCGAAGGCAGCUCGCUGGGACGUUACUGACGCUGGAGAACGCGAAAGCGUGGGGAGCAAACAGGAUUAGAUACCCC